GCAUAAGAACUAGCUACACACCUGUAACUGCAAGCAAUGGACGAAGGCACAGCAACUUGGACUUGGAGUGGGAACGUGAGGGCUCCGGCAGGAGCCAGGUGGUGUUGCCAGAGGCAAACAAAGCUUUUCUUCUCCCAAAAAUUCAAAGUGAACAGUAGUUGCUGUGUAUUUGCUGGCUUGCAAUACUGAGAAGACCCCUAAUGCAGGCAGGGUUUGGCAAAAACUCAAUCACAGUCUGUGAUGACAGUUCUCCUGCUAAGAUAUUAUCACAGAGAUCGAGGAGUGCCUUUUUGAGGGCCCUGAAAGGAUGGGGGAAAAACCCAAUAUACUCAAUCAGUGAUUUAGACCAGGGAAAAUUCUAAAUCCAUUGGAGAAAUAUUCUCUGCAAGCCUGGCUCAGGGAGGACCAUUCCUCUGCUUCAUGCGUGAGUGGUGCUACCAGUAUAUUGUGACAGGAAGUGGCACUUGGAGGCUGAUGUCAACGAUGCAGAGUACAGGAUCCUAAUUAAAAGGGUAAGAUCCUCAGUGGCGACCCGUCAUUCAGGGCA